rnacentral:rRNA from 1 species
UACGGAGGGUGCAAGCGUUAUCCGGAAUUAUUGGGCGUAAAGAGUGCGUAGGUGGUCAUGUAAGCGCGGGGUGAAAGGCAAUAGCUCAACUAUUGUAAGCCUUGCGAACUGCAUGACUUGAGUGCAGGAGAGGAAAGUGGAAUUCCUAGUGUAGCGGUGAAAUGCGUAGAUAUUAGGAGGAACACCAGUGGCGAAGGCGACUUUCUGGACUGUAACUGACACUGAGGCACGAAAGCGUGGGGAGCAAACAGG